rnacentral:rRNA from 1 species
UACGUAGGUCCCGAGCGUUGUCCGGAUUUAUUGGGCGUAAAGCGAGCGCAGGUGGUUUAUUAAGUCUGGUGUAAAAGGCAGUGGCUCAACCAUUGUAUGCAUUGGAAACUGGUAGACUUGAGUGCAGGAGAGGAGAGUGGAAUUCCGUGUGUAGCGGUGAAAUGCGUAGAUAUAUGGAGGAACACCGGUGGCAAAAGCGGCUCUCUGGCCUGUAACUGACACUGAGGCUCGAAAGCGUGGGGAGCAAACAGG